rnacentral:rRNA from 1 species
AUAAACGCUGGCGGCGUGCUUAACACAUGCCAGUCGAACGAAGUUUUUCUUUCGGGAGGAACUUAGUGGCGGACGGGUGAGUAACGCGUGGGUAACCUGCCCUGUACAGGGGGACAACAGCUGGAAACGGCUGCUAAUACCGCAUAAGCCCUUAGCACUGCAUGGUGCAUAGGGAAAAGGAGCAAUCCGGUACAGGAUGGACCCGCGUCUGAUUAGCCAGUUGGCAGGGUAACGGCCUACCAAAGCGACGAUCAGUAGCCGAUCUGAGAGGAUGUACGGCCACAUUGGGACUGAGACACGGCCCAGACUCCUACGGGAGGCAGCAGUGGGGAAUAUUGCACAAUGGAGGAAACUCUGAUGCAGCGACGCCGCGUGAGUGAAGAAGUAUUUCGGUAUGUAAAGCUCUAUCAGCAGGAAAGAAAAUGACGGUACCUGACUAAGAAGCACCGGCUAAAUACGUG